UCUUGCAAGAAGAUAACAUGUCUCUCGGACACCAGUCUCGGAUGUGACAAUCCUGAUCAACUGCAGAAAGAAACAUGCUGCAAGACAUGUCUUACAGAUGGGCACAAUCAUCUUCCAAUGCGACAACGCUCAGCGGCCGCCCUGAGAAUGAUCCCAGCAUCUUGGUGCCGACGGACUCGAGCAAGCGGCCAGUCGGGACCAACAACCGCAUCCUCCCCGGGACUCCUUCACCAACGACCCCGGGCAUGGCCUGCCUGCCAAAGGGCACAGAUACAUUUCUCCAUCAGUGGCAGAACAAGACGUCUGUGGUAAUCGUAUUUGAGUUCAAGAUUACGGCGACGGUGUUUAGAUAUGUCAUCAGAAACCGGGUGAUGGAAAUCAACUCUUUGUGCCUCUCAAAAGAUAAGCUGGACAAACUGCUGAGCGGACGGAGGGAAGCGACAAUGGUGGGGGCGACUACGAUCCAAGUUGUAUUCUAUGUACGGAUUCUAUCUAUUCCUACCGGUUUGAGCUGCUGGCCUAGGACUGCUGGGCACUGCCACUGGACUGCUGGGCA